ACACACUAUGAUGGGAAAGAAGGAGGCUGACAGAGAGGACAUUGGCAGGAAGGAGCCCUACUGUAGAUGUGGUGGUCAGAGAAGGGCCUUUGUGAGAAGCUGACACAUAAUCUCACAGUUGAAGUUGUGAGAAGGAGCUGGUCCUCCAGAGAGAAGUAGGAAGAGCGCUCCAGCAGAAUCUCUGGACAAGUGCAGCUACGACUGCUGCUGGGACCGCGAUACUGUGAUGAGACUUUGCAUAUUUAAAAGGAUGUCGAGAGAGGAGGAGGAAUGAUAAAUGAACUCAGGAAGAUGUGAUGUCUUCUGUGAUGACACUAAUAGAUGGAAUGCAGAAUUCAGCUCCAAUACUUAGGGUUGGAAACCAAACAUAAACAAGCAAGCAAGGAAAAUGAAAAGGAAUGUGUGUGUGUGUGUGUGUGUGUGUGUGUGUGUGUGUGUGUAGGUGUGAGAGUAUAUGAAAUACAUGAAAAGAUAAAAAGUUAGAUGCUGCUAAAGGGACAGACAUGUAGGAAUUUUACAUUAGGGUUGUUCUGAUUUUCAUUUUCUUGCCUUUUAAAAUUUAAUGAUAAACAAGUCUCCAGAGAUUUUUACAGCCUGGGAGACCACUGGUAAGACAACAAUAUAGGUGGUCCUCCAGCAGGAUCUAAAUCAGAGCCUUCAUAGUGGACUGUCGGGCCAGGUGCAGCUGUAGACAAUGCAUCUUCAGGAGUGGGGUGAAGAAAUUUAAUGGACUAGUAAUGCAACAGGAGGUAGAAGAAAAGUGUUCUCUCACUAAAGCAUGGUGGGUGUUUUCAAAAUGUUUAAA
rnacentral:lncRNA from 1 species